CAUGCAAGUCGAGGGGAAACGACAUCGAAAGCUUGCUUUUGAUGGGCGUCGACCGGCGCACGGGUGAGUAACGCGUAUCCAACCUGCCCAUCACUUGGGGAUAACCUUGCGAAAGUAAGGCUAAUACCCAAUGACGUCUCUAGAAGACAUCUGAAAGAGAUUAAAGAUUUAUCGGUGAUGGAUGGGGAUGCGUCUGAUUAGCUUGUUGGCGGGGUAACGGCCCACCAAGGCGACGAUCAGUAGGGGUUCUGAGAGGAAGGUCCCCCACAUUGGAACUGAGACACGGUCCAAACUCCUACGGGAGGCAGCAGUGAGGAAUAUUGGUCAAUGGACGAGAGUCUGAACCAGCCAAGUAGCGUGCAGGAUGACGGCCCUAUGGGUUGUAAACUGCUUUUAUAAGGGAAUAAAGUUAGUCUCGUGAGACUUUUUGCAUGUACCUUAUGAAUAAGGACCGGCUAAUUCCGUGCCAGCAGCCGCGGUAAUACGGAAGGUCCGGGCGUUAUCCGGAUUUAUUGGGUUUAAAGGGAGCGUAGGCCGGAGAUUAAGCGUGUUGUGAAAUGUAGACGCUCAACGUCUGCACUGCAGCGCGAACUGGUUUCCUUGAGUACGCACAAAGUGGGCGGAAUUCGUGGUGUAGCGGUGAAAUGCUUAGAUAUCACGAAGAACUCCGAUUGCGAAGGCAGCUCACUGGAGCGCAACUGACGCUGAAGCUCGAAAGUGCGGGUAUCGAACAGGAUUAGAUACCCUGGUAGUCCGCACGGUAAACGAUGGAUGCCCGCUGUUGGU
rnacentral:rRNA from 1 species